AUUGAACGCUGGCGGCAGGCUUAACACAUGCAAGUCGAACGGGUGGCGGACGGGUGAGCAAUGCAUGUGACUCUGGCUUAUGGAUGGGGAUCGCGACGGGACACUGUCGCCACUUCCGCGUACCAUAGGAUGGGCCCAAGUGGGAAUAGGGAGUUGGUGGGGUAAAGGCCUACCAAGCUGACGAUCUAUAGCUGGUCUGAGAGGAUGACCAGUCACACCGGAACUGAGACACGGUCCGGACUCCUACGGGAGGCAGCAGUGGGGAAUAUUGCGCAAUGGGGGCAAGCCUGACGCAGCCAUGCCGCGUGAAUGAAGAAGGCCUUCGGGUUGUAAAGUGCUUUCGGUAUUGAGGCGUUACCUACAGAAGAAGCACCGGCUAACUCCGUGCCAGCAGCCGCGGUAAUUC
rnacentral:rRNA from 1 species